CCAGACCCAGGUCAAUAUACCAGUUAGAUCUCUCACCCACAAAUCAUGCUCUUGCCAAUCCUUUAGAAUCUAAAAUCUAAAGUGUCAGAGGGGAAAUAAUGU